rnacentral:pre_miRNA from 15 species
UUUCUGUAGACGAUAAUUUGAUCCGUUCUUGAUGGGUUCGGGUCUAGUGGCACGGUUUUUUCAACUUCGUGACUAGAUCCACACUCAUUAAGGAAGUUUCACACCACAACAAAAGAAUUAC